CAGGACGAACGCUGGCGGCGUGCCUAACACAUGCAAGUCGAGCGAGGAGAUUCCUUCGGGAUGAUCCUAGCGGCGGACGGGUGAGUAACACGUGGGCAACCUGCCUCAUAGAGAGGAAUAGCCUUCCGAAAGGGAGAUUAAUACCUCAUAACAUUGCAGUUUCGCAUGGAACAGCAAUUAAAGGAGUAAUCCGCUAUGAGAUGGGCCCGCGGCGCAUUAGCUAGUUGGUGAGGUAACGGCUCACCAAGGCGACGAUGCGUAGCCGACCUGAGAGGGUGAUCGGCCACAUUGGGACUGAGACACGGCCCAGACUCCUACGGGAGGCAGCAGUGGGGAAUAUUGCACAAUGGGGGAAACCCUGAUGCAGCAAACCGCCGCGUGAGUGAUGACGGCCUUCGGGUUGUAAAGCUCUGUCUUCAGGGACGAUAAUGACGGUACCUGAGGAGGAAGCCACGGCUAACUGCGUGCCAGCAGCAGC
rnacentral:rRNA from 1 species